GUAGGCGAGAUCAGCAGACGCAUUCCACGUGAUCUCUAUUCCAUCGAGACGUUGUCCGAGAAAGUUACCUCAGCGAUUGGCUCAUGGCGGGACAAUUUCUUGUCUGACGUUUAUCGUCAAUGGUAAUUCCUGUCUUAUUCUUAAAGCCUGGGUGAAGUCUGAGCUUCUUCAUUGCAGUACGUGCACGUGAUUGCUGACUUGUCGUUGAAGAGGACCUCCACUAUUUUGCAAGAAAAUCGAGAUGAAAAGAGGAAAUUUGAAAAGGGUUUCUUGUUCAGUUUGAGCUGUUAAUAGUGUUGUUUGGUGUGCAGUGGUUUUGGAGUCAUUCAGUCGAGAGAUGCCCUGAGAUGGAUGAUCAACUGCUGAGAAUCCUCACAUCAUCGUCUUUUUCUAUGGAGACGCUGUCCGAGAAGGUUCACCUUGGCCAUUAAAGUCAUGAGGUCUACUGUACACUUCCCCCAAAAUGUCGUCUCUUGGUUCAUGUUGCAUGUUUCAUCACAGAAGUACUUAAGAAUAGUAAAAGCAAAAAUGUUGAUUAACUUUGAAAUCUGAAGACUUGAACAACAUUGUAAUGGAAAUAGGAAAUCAGAAAUAGCAAUAAUGUUUCCAUGGUCAGCUUGAUGUUUGAACAGUUUUGUUGUGGCUGUUUGGUGUGCGGUGAUUCUCCAGGAGAGAUGUGUCAAGUAGUCAUGUUGGCAGAGUUUUUUCCAGGGACAAAGAGCCCUAUGUUGGCAACAUGCCAAUCGUAUGCCACUGACGCUGGACACUGUCAGUUACAUUGUUCUUGAUGGAUGCGGUCAACUUCAACAUUCUUCUUCACAAAUAUCUCAAAGGAAUAGUGGCUUGGUGAGGUGAGUUUUUUCAUGGUUGAAUGUCCACAUGGACUUGUUGCAGUGAGCUAGUGAAUGGUGUGGUGAGCUGUUUCAUGACGACCAUGUGCUGGUGUGGGGAAGUGCUGCAUGCUGUCUGUGGUGUUGGUUUGAAUCAUUUUCAUUGCCAUAACUACUAAGUGUUUGAAUCAUUCAUUUUAUAUUUGUUGGCUGAAGUUAAACUUGAAAUUUUUUGUUUGCUUUGUAAAUGUUUUCAUUGGAAUUUUUUUUCACAUUUCAAAGUGUUGUUCGGUUCAUUGAUGUUCUUUUGCCCUAUAGGUUUCCAUUGUCAGUCAGAUGUAUGAGCUAAUUAUGUUGUUGAUCUUUGGUAUGCAGUUCAUGUCAAGGUGGUAUUGUUGCAGCUACUGCUGGUGAAAGGGAGUCUAAGUCGAGUUGAGCUGUAGCUUUGGAAGCAGUCAAACAAUAAUGCUGGCGUUAUUCCGAAUUUUAACAUCAAUGAAGACAUCUUGAAAUGGUCUCGACGUAAAUGCGCAGCGGUUUUGCAGUCCAACUCCUGUUCAAGCUGUUGCUUUCCUGAAUUUUGCUGGAGUCUUCGAAGUAGCUGAACCUGAAGUUAUGAUGCUGGUGUCAUCCUGAAAUAGCUGCUGUUAGUGUUAUCAAGUUACUGUGGCAUUGCAAUUCGGGUUGAUAAAAAUAUUAUAUCCAUGUACUAUGCGAUUGUAGGAACCUUAAGCUAUUUCGUUACCCACUGUGGUAUGUUGCAAUCUGAUGUUUGUUUAAACAGCAGUUAUGUUUCCUGAUAUUAUCCUCACCCUUGUAUAUCAAAUAAUUGUGUUUCAAAGUUAACUUGCAAUAUUUCGAUGUGCGUUGGAAAU